AAGAGACUUAGUCCUAACCUUACUGUUAGUUCCCACUAGAUUUAUACAUGCAAGUAUCCGCGUGCCAGUGUAAAUGCCCUUGACCUCUUACCAAGACUAAAGGAGCAGGCAUCAGGCUCACUUCAAGUAGCCUAAGACGUCUUGCUCAGCCACACCCCCACGGGUAUUCAGCAGUAAUUAACAUUAAGCAAUAAGCGCAAGCUUGACUUAAUCAUAGUAAUAUAGGGUUGGUAAAUCUUGUGCCAGCCACCGCGGUCACACAAGAAACCCAAAUUAACUGUACACGGCGUAAAGAGUGGCUCAUCAUUUAUCACCAUUACUAGAGUCGAAGUAUGCCUGAGCUGUCAUAAGCCCAAGGCACAUUUAAGUCCAAUACUAAUGCAACUCUAGCUAUUAAUGAUCUACUAUCUGCCACGAAAGCCAGGGAACAAACUGGGAUUAGAUACCCCACUAUGCCUGGCCAUAAAUUUAGAUGCUUCAUUUCUACCUAAGCAUCCGCCCGGGAAUUACGAGCACAAACGCUUAAAACCCUAAGGACUUGGCGGUGCUCUAAACCCACCUAGAGGAGCCUGUCCUAUAAUCGAUAACCCGCGCUACACCCGACCUCCCCUUGUUCAAGCAGCCUAUAUACCGCCGUCGCCAGCUCACCUCUUAUGAGAGAACAACAGUGAGCACAAUAGCCUCAUUCGCUAAAAAGACAGGUCAAGGUAUAGCCUAUGGGGAGGAAGAGAUGGGCUACAUUUUCUGUUUCAGAGCAUAAACGAAAGAGGGCCUGAAAUCAGCCCUCGGAAGGAGGAUUUAGUAGUAAAACAUAUCCAUAAUACUUGUUUAAAACCGGCCCUAGAGCACGUACAUACCGCCCGUCACCCUCCUCACAAGCAACAUCAUUUAUAAUCUAAUAUCAUAACUAGCUAAAGAUGAGGUAAGUCGUAACAAGGUAAGUGUACCGGAAGGUGCACUUAGCAUAUC
rnacentral:ncRNA from 1 species